UACGAAGGGGGCUAGCGUUGUUCGGAAUUACUGGGCGUAAAGGGCGCGUAGGCGGGCUAUCAAGUCCGGGGUGAAAUCCUCCAGCUUAACUGGAGAACGGCCUCGGAUACUGAUGGUCUCGAGGGGGAUAGGGGCACGCGGAACUGUGGGUGGAGCGGUGAAAUGCGUUGAUAUCCAUAGGAACUCCGGUGGCGAAAGCGGCGUGCUGGAUCCCUUCUGACGCUGAGGCGCGAAAGCCAGGGGAGCAAACGGG
rnacentral:rRNA from 1 species